ACGGGAGGCAGCAGUGGGGAAUCUUGCACAAUGGGGGAAACCCUGAUGCAGCGACGCCGCGUGAGCGAUGAAGCCCUUCGGGGUGUAAAGCUCUUUCGACGGGAACGAUAAUGACGGUACCCGGAGAAGAAGCUGCGGCUAACUACGUGCCAGCAGCCGCGGUAAUACGUAGGCAGCAAGCGUUGUUCGGAGUUACUGGGCGUAAAGAGUACGUAGGCGGUUUGCUAAGUCUGGUGUGAAAUCUCCUGGCUUAACUGGGAGGGUGCGCUAGAUACUGGCAGGCUUGAGUAUGGGAGAGGAGAGUGGAAUUCCUGGUGUAGCGGUGAAAUGCGUAGAUAUCAGGAGGAACGCCGGUGGUGUAGACGGCUCUCUGGACCAUUACUGACGCUGAGGUACGAAAGCGUGGGUAGCAAACAGGAUUAGAUACCCUGGUA
rnacentral:rRNA from 1 species